rnacentral:rRNA from 1 species
UGAGCAAUCUGCCCUUCUCUUUGGAAUAAGCGUUGGAAACGACGUCUAAUGCCGAAUACGACCUCCUUUCGCAUGAUCGGAGGUGGAAAACUCCGGCGGAGAAGAAUGAGCUCGCGGCCUAUCAGCUAGUUGGUGUGGUAAUGGCCCACCAAGGCGACGACGGGUAGCCGGCCUGAGAGGGUGACCGGCCACACUGGGACUGAGACACGGCCCAGACUCCGUACGGGAGGCAGCAGG